CUAAACUCGGGUGGGCUUACGUAGUGUUCUACUUGGGUUAACGCCUUCGGGUUUUAACCUAGGUGUUCUAGUCCGAAAUUCAAAAAACACCCAAUUUUGGGCAAAACUCUACCGUUUUUCGUUUCUUGAAAAGGAGCGUUUUUUGCAUGAAUGACUAAUUUCUAUUUGCGAAAAUAUGAAACAAAAACUGUUUUUAUCACAAGCAAUUUAUAUCUACAAAGUCAUACUAUUAGAACCCGUAGGUCAAUCGUAUUUUACGGAUCCUUAAUACCGGGGUGCCUAACACCUUCCCCGGGAUCACCAGAACCCAUGCCUGAUAACCCAACUCACCUCUUUGAGAUCUAUAUUUUCUCUCUCUAAUAUAUUACUCUCUUUUCUAGGGUUUUGGAUUUUGGUUUUAGUUAGAGAUCUGAGUUAUGAAAAUAUAUCGAAAAUAGGUGCAAAAGGAUUCAAGUCUAGUUGAUCUAAUUGUUUGCUGGAGUAUUUUAUAUCUUUAAUUUUUCGUUCAGAAAAUACUGUCAAUUAGAAGAUUCCUUCAGUAUUGAGUUUUGAGUGAAGCAUUAAGGUUUUAAUUGGUAAUAUUUCUUCUAGUAAAUAAACAUGCAGAGUUGUAAUCAAUUGUAGAGCAUUCAAGAAGGAAGACAAUUUUUCCACUUUCAUGCUUGUUAACCUAGGAGGGGAGCCUUGGAGUAACUAGUAAAGUUGUUGUCAUUUGACCAGGAAGUCAAGGGUUCAAGCCGUGAAAAUAACCUCUUGCGGAGAGGCAAGUUGGCUUCAGAUGGAAAGCUACAAGGAAGGAACAUUUCAAGUUUAUGGAACUUACUUUAGAACAGGUAUGAAUUGUUUAUAAAAGCUUUCAAUUAUAUUUUGGAAAUAUGGACUAGAUAUACAAGCAAUUGAUGAAGAGAAACAGGCAUCCGUUCGGUGGGAGGUGCAUCAAGGG